rnacentral:lncRNA from 1 species
AGGCGAAGUCCUCCGCGGCGGCCUGUGCGAGUCUGGCAGCUCUGAGCUAGUCGGGGUGCAGCAUAACUGGUGCCGAGGAGGCGCUGAACAGUCUUUCUCGAAGCCAAAAAAGCCUCUACUUGGGGAAGCUGAGACCAUGGGGAGACACGUCGGGAGGAGAGCUGAUCCCUUUGGGUCUCAGUUUGUGGACCAACUUUCUUCCUGGGGAAGAACUGAGAGCAGCCUGCGGCCCCCUGCUCAACAGAUGGAGCCCGGGUCCCACGCUUGCCAGGAAUCGAACGUUCCCCGGGCGGUUGCAUGUGGCUGGCUGGUGUAUUUCCACCUCCACUGUCCAGAUGAGGAAACUGAGGCUUCGGAGAGGUUAGCAUCCGGCUCAGGCACACCAGUGAUCGGGGAUCACAUUGUUCUGGGGAGUCCGGGCCUCCUUCCUAUCCAGGGCCGGGAUGCUAGAGUACAGUGA